GACGAACGCUGGCGGCGUGCUUAACACAUGCAAGUCGAACGGAAAGGCCCUGCUUUUGUGGGGUGCUCGAGUGGCGAACGGGUGAGUAACACGUGAGUAACCUGCCCUUGACUUUGGGAUAACUUCAGGAAACUGGGGCUAAUACCGGAUAGGAGCUCCUGCUGCAUGGUGGGGGUUGGAAAGUUUCGGCGGUUGGGGAUGGACUCGCGGCUUAUCAGCUUGUUGGUGGGGUAGUGGCUUACCAAGGCUUUGACGGGUAGCCGGCCUGAGAGGGUGACCGGCCACAUUGGGACUGAGAUGCGGCCCAGACUCCUACGGGACGCAGCAGUGGGGAAUAUUGCACAAUGGGCGGAAGCCUGAUGCAGCAACGCCGCGUGCGGGAUGACGGCCUUCGGGUUGUAAUCCGCUUUCGCCUGUGACGAAGCGUGAGUGACGGUAAUGGGUAAAGAAGCACCGGCUAACUACGUG
rnacentral:rRNA from 1 species